GACAGAGGGUGCAAACGUUGUUCGGAAUCACUGGGCGUAAAGCGCGUGUAGGCGGUCGUAUAAGUCGGAUGUGAAAGUCCUCGGCUCAACCGGGGAAGUGCACCCGAAACUGUGCGACUGGAGUCCCGGAGAGGAUAGUGGAAUUCUCGGUGUAGAGGUGAAAUUCGUAGAUAUCGAGAGGAACACCGGUGGCGAAGGCGGCUAUCUGGACGGUGACUGACGCUGAGACGCGAAAGCGUGGGGAG
rnacentral:rRNA from 1 species